rnacentral:miRNA from 1 species
AGUGGAUUGAGUGAGGUGAGAAGA